rnacentral:rRNA from 1 species
CGGCGGACGGGUGAGUAACACGUGGAUAACCUACCUAUAAGACUGGGAUAACUUCGGGAAACCGGAGCUAAUACCGGAUAAUAUAUUGAACCGCAUGGUUCAAUAGUGAAAGACGGUUUUGCUGUCACUUAUAGAUGGAUCCGCGCCGCAUUAGCUAGUUGGUAAGGUAACGGCUUACCAAGGCAACGAUGCGUAGCCGACCUGAGAGGGUAAUCGGCCACACUGGAACUGAGACACGGUCCAGACUCCUACGGGAGGCAGCAGCG